rnacentral:rRNA from 2 species
AGCAUGUGGUUUAAUUCGAAGCAACGCGAAGAACCUUACCAGGGCUUGACAUCCCUCUGACAGUCCCUUAACCGGGACCUUCUUCGGACAGAGGAGACAGGUGGUGCAUGGUUGUCGUCAGCUCGUGUCGUGAGAUGUCGGGUUAAGUCCCGCAACGAGCGCAACCCUUGCCUUUAGUUGCCAUCAUUCAGUUGGGCACUCUAGAGAGACUGCCGAGGACAACUCGGAGGAAGGUGGGGAUGACGUCAAAUCAUCAUGCCCCUUAUGUCCUGGGCUACACACGUGCUACAAUGGCUGGUACAAAGAGACGCAAGACCGCGAGGUGGAGCAAAUCUCAAAAACCAGUCCCAGUUCGGAUUGCAGGCUGCAACUCGCCUGCAUGAAGUCGGAGUUGCUAGUAAUCGCAGAUCAGAAUGCUGCGGUGAAUGCGUUCCCGGGUCUU